AUUAAAAUCUGCUUUCAAUUCAAAUGUGUUCCUAUCAAUAUGGCCCCCAAAGAGCUCAAAGCUAGCACAAGCACCCCUUAAGAAGUAACUGGUUACAUCCUGCAUACACCUUAUAAGAAAGAGAAGCUUAUAUAAAUGAAGACAUUUAGGAAAACUAAAUAAAUCACACUACUCAGAAAUUAAGAAAGCCUCUCUCUUUCAAGCUUUCAAUGAUGUUUUUAGCAGUAACCUCCAAAGGAGUGAAGUCCACACCCAAGUCUUUUGCCUUCUCUUUAGAUACCUCAUAUUUUGGCACAAAAGGCUUGUCAUCUACACAUUUUUCAGGAAGUGGUAGUGUCGGGUAGUGUUGGCGCAGAAUCUUAAAGAACUCAGACAAGUGUGCUACUUGUCCAACUAAACAGUAUCUGCCACUGGCUGAAGAUCUUUCAAAUGCUAGAAUAUGUGCAUUUGCAACAUCUCUAACAUCAACAGAUCUUAAAGUCUCAUUUGGAAAUGUUUGACCAGUUAUGUAGUUCAAAAUAAUCUUCAUAGUGACAUUCAGAGUUGGCUGGAAGACAGGACCAAUCACAAACCCUGGAUGUAUUGUAACCAAGUCAAUUCCAUUUUCAUUUGCAAAUUUCCAAGCAGCAUCCUCUGCUAAGGUUUUUGAUAGCCUAUACCAAUGCUUAUUUUCCUUGCAGAAAGCAGGAUCAGAAAACCAAGUCUCAUCAACUACCACAUCAGGGGUCAGAGGUGUUCCAUUGAACAGUACUGUUGCGAUAGAAGAAGUUACAACCACUCUCUUGAUAAAAGGGACUUUCGAACACGAUUUAAGAACGUUUAGUGUUCCCUUAACAGCAGGCUCAAGCAAUACAUUCUGUGGGUCAUCUGUUGAAAGAAUUACAGGAGAAGCUGUAUGAAAUACACCUUCACAUCCAUCAACUGCUGAAUCAAAAGUUCCUUCUUCCACUAAAUUUGCCUUGAACAACUGAAGUCUCUCUUUAGCUCCAUCGAGUGCAAGCAAAUGUUCUGUUUGCUUAGGAUCAUUGGGAUCAAGAACAGUAGCUUUAACUGUGUAACCUCGCUGGAGUAAGAGCUUGGCCAUGAAGCUAUAUAACCUGAUCCUCCAGUUACACACACCACCCUUCCUUCUCCACUCAUGAUGUCUCUUUCCUCUAUCCCUUAC
rnacentral:misc_RNA from 1 species